rnacentral:rRNA from 1 species
UGGGGAAUUUUGGACAAUGGGGGAAACCCUGAUCCAGCCAUCCCGCGUGUGCGAUGAAGGCCUUCGGGUUGUAAAGCACUUUUGGCAGGAAAGAAACGUCGCGGGUUAAUACCCCGCGAAACUGACGGUACCUGCAGAAUAAGCACCGGCUAACUACGUGCCAGCAGCCGCGGUAAUACGUAGGGUGCAAGCGUUAAUCGGAAUUACUGGGCGUAAAGCGUGCGCAGGCGGUUCGGAAAGAAAGAUGUGAAAUCCCAGAGCUUAACUUUGGAAACUGCAUUUUUAACUACCGGGCUAGAAUGUGUCAGAGGGAGGUGGAAUUCCGCGUGUAGCAGUGAAAUGCGUAGAUAUGCGGAGGAACACCGAUGGCGAAGGCAGCCUCCUGGGAUAACACUGACGCUCAUGCACGAAAGCGUGGGGAGCAAAACAGGAUUAGAUACCCUGGUAGUCCACGCCCUAAAACGAUGUCAACUAGCUGUUGGGGCCUUCGGGCCUUGGUAGCGCAGCUAACGCGUGAAGUUGACCGCCUGGGGAGUACGGUCGCAAGAUUAAAACUCAAAUGAAUUGACGGGGUCAUAGCUGUUUCCU